rnacentral:misc_RNA from 1 species
UCUCACGUUGCAUCUCUCGAUCUCGUCCCCGCCUCGCAGGUAUCAAAAUCAUGGCGCAGCGCUGUCGCCUCCUCCCUCCGCCGCUCCUCUCGCCGUCGCUUCCCGUGGCUCAUCUUCCAUAUCCAGAGCCGCCACCGCCCCUUUCGCCUUGUCGCCACCCUCGCCUACGACCCUCAUUCCCGCGCAUGGUUCCCAAUCUCACGCGCCAGCGGUGCCGCCCCUCCUGCCGCCGCCCUCCACUCCUCCCACCCGGGCCUCCUCCAUGCGCUCUCCCCCUCCCAGCUCGCCAUCUCGACUGACGCCUUCGGCUCAACUUGGCGCCACCUCCGCGGAUCCGAG